rnacentral:rRNA from 1 species
UACGUAGGGUGCGAGCGUUAAUCGGAAUUACUGGGCGUAAAGCGUGCGCAGGCGGUUGUGCAAGACAGAUGUGAAAUCCCCGGGCUUAACCUGGGAAUUGCAUUUGUGACUGCACGGCUAGAGUGUGUCAGAGGGGGGUAGAAUUCCACGUGUAGCAGUGAAAUGCGUAGAUAUGUGGAGGAAUACCGAUGGCGAAGGCAGCCAGCUGGGCCGGGUCCGACACUGAGGCGCGAAAGCGUGGGGAGCAAACAGG